rnacentral:lncRNA from 1 species
GGGUAAACAUCCACCGUGAAGAAGAAAGAACGUCAGGAGCUAAGGUUUAGUUUAAACCUGUAGUUGCUGUUUGGAAAAUGAAGAUGCAGACCGCAGAUUGGUGGCUUAUAUGUUCUUCAUGCAAGGGCAGCAUGCUAAAGGAGAGAAGUAACUGCGCUGACCAGUGACUGAAAGCUGCGAGCAUUGGGACAGAUUGGCUGAAGACAAGGAAUUUCUAAGAGUCAGAAAGUCAAGACGGAAUUGUGCUAAGUCUUUCUCUGGCACAUGUGAGUAGGAGGAGGCAUCCUUUAUUAAAUGGAAGAUAAAGGCUACUUCAUCUAAAGUGUUUUGAACUUGAGAAAAGAGCUGUUUUCAGCACCUCACCAUGGGUCUGCUUAUUGUUGCUUAAACAAGCUGGGAGUUUCAUUAGCCCGGGCAUUCCAUAUUGGAAGAAGAGAUUUUUAUAGAUGAAAAAAAUGCCUUUGUUUAGCAAAUCACACAAAAAUCCAGCAGAAAUUGUCAAAAUUCUGAAAGACAACCUGGCCAUUUUGGAAAAGCAGGACAAAAAGACAGACAAGGCUUCAGAAGAAGUGUCAAAGUCUCUGCAAGCGAUGAAGGAGCUCCUGUGUGGAGCACAGGACAAGGAGCCCCCCACAGAAGCAGUGGCUCAGCUGGCACAGGAGCUCUAUAGCAGCGGGCUGUUGGUGACACUCAUAGCUGAUCUGCAGCUCAUAGACUUUGAGGGAAAAAAAGAUGUGACCCAGAUAUUCAACAACAUCCUGAGAAGACAGAUUGGUACACGGUGUCCUACGGUGGA